rnacentral:rRNA from 1 species
AUGCGUAGAUAUCUGCAGGAACACCCGUGGCGAAGGCGGCUGACUGGAUCGCAACUGACAUGAGGAACGAAAGCUAGGGGAGCAAACAGGAUUAGAUACCCUGGUAGUCCUAGCCAUAAACCAUCGGAACUUGGGGUGGCCCGCGUAGGCGGGUCGUCUCGUAGCUAACGCGUUAAGUUCCGCGCCUGGGGAGUACGGUCGCAAGACUGAAACUCAAAGGAAUUGACGGGGGCCCGCACAAGCGGUGGAACAUGUGGUUCAAUUCGACGCAACGCGAAGAACCUUACCUGGGCUUGAACCGCCAGUGACCAACGGUAGAAAUAUGGUCUUCCUGCAAGGCACAGUAGCAGAGGUGCCGCAUGGCUGUUGUCAGCUCGUGCCGUGAGGUGUUGGGUUAAGUCCCGCAACGAGCGCAACCCUUACUUAUAGUUGCUACCCGCAAGGGAGAACUCUAUGAGGACUGCUCCGGAUAACGGAGAGGAAGGUGGGGAGGACGUCAAGUCAGCACGGCCUUUAUGUCCAGGGCUCCACACGUGUUCCAAUGCAUGGUACAGACUGUUGUGAACCCGCGAGGGGGAGCUAAUCGGCCAAAGCCAUGCUCAUUUCGGAUUGCAGUCUGCAACUCGAUUGCAUGAAGCUGGAAUCGCUAGUAAUGGCGCAUCAGAUCGGCGCCGUGAAUACGUUCCCGGGCCUUGUACACACCGCCCGUCACAUCACGAAAGUGAGCUGUACUAGAAGUCGCGCAGCUAACCGUAAGGAAGCACGCGCCCAAGGUAUGGCCCAUGAUUGGGGUGAAGUCGUAACAAGGUAACC